UCAAAAGUGCCAAAUAAUCAAGGAUAAUGCUGGAUAAUGAAAACAGAAGCGCACUUAUAGGUGCUACACCAGGCUACUUAUAAAAGCAGCUGGACUGGUCUUGGCCACAAUAUAUCUGCUCCUUAAGGCUGACUUCCUGAGGCAGAACCAAUCACUCUUGGAUUGGUAUAGCUGAAGCUCUUCCAACUGCCAUUCUGGUCACAGUUGCCAGGACGAUACCUGCUUUUCUCAAAGUCUGUCAAUCUGCUGUAGGUCUUCAAAAUGGAGGCUCCCCCAUCUCUGUGCUAUGGACUGAACACUGCUUUCAACAUGCUGAGAUAUUUUUUGUUCCUCAUUUUGAACAAAUGUCAAGGGCAAAGUUAAGCAGCUACAGAAGUACAAUCUACCUUGCAAAAGCACUGGAGUAGUAGCCACGACUUCCAGAUGAUCCACCCAGCACUAUUGUUUUCAAGACAUAUUCCUUCAUCAAUGCCAUCGUCAUUAGAAAAGUCAUUACUCAUCUGAUCACUGUGACAACUGCCUUCAUUCUCUGCUCCACUAUCAGUGCAGCUCUCUGUUUGAGGAGACUUCUUAAAACAAGUUAUAAGGAUUAGUUUAUAAACAAUAAGGAUUUGUACAAAGUAAUUAUCUAAAGACAAAAUUGUAAGACAAAAUAAUUGUCUUACAAAAUAAUUGAAAUUGUAAAGUGGAGUCAACAGUGCAUAUCUGUGUACAAUGAAUUCCUUUGUAAAAGUAUGCUACGGACUUAUUUUAGUUAAACAAUGAAUGGAUCCAUAUGUUCUCUCUUACUAUACACUAAUACUUAGAGAUGAGCACAUUUUACAAAUAGACAGCAAGGAGGCACUUCAGGAAAUAAAGGCCUGCAUCUUCUCCUUAUUGCUUGGUACCUUGCACUACUGCAUGUGUGUCUGUAUGUAUGUGUAGCAGUCACAAAGAAAGUCUAGGUUUUACAUUUAAGUUUAAGUUUAAGUUUACAUUUAAGUUUGAAAGGGGAAGGAAAAGACAAUACACAACAGUUGAUCCUGAUAUUGUGAAUAAAUUUCAAAUUAAUCUGAUAUGAAAUAAG